rnacentral:rRNA from 2 species
UACGGGGGGGCAAGCGUUGUUCGGAAUUACUGGGCGUAAAGGGUUCGUAGGUGGCUCGCUAAGUCAGACGUGAAAUCCCUCAGCUUAACUGGGGAACUGCGUCUGAGACUGGCGAGCUCGAGUGCAGGAGAGGAACGCGGAAUUCCAGGUGUAGCGGUGAAAUGCGUAGAUAUCUGGAGGAACACCGGUGGCGAAGGCGGCGUUCUGGACUGCAACUGACACUGAGGAACGAAAGCCAGGGUAGCAAACGGG